GGCUAAACAAUAAUUUAUUCAUUUUAAUAAACCGAUUAUUGUGGAUCUCAUUAACAUUGAAAAAACAAAAAAAGAAAUUACAACUCACACGAGCUUGAGCAUUCUUGAGACUUGUGGCUCACUAGUUCCAUCCAUAAACUAGUAUUCUUGUAGUAUUAUCAUAAUCAUUAGCUACCGCCUAUUUUGUACUUCCCUAAAGCUCACAUUUGCUGCCUCUGGACCAAGUAGCUGCUUGACCAUUGGCGUUCAAGAUGUAAUUACUGUCUUGCCAUCAGUUCAUCAUCCAUGCAUCAUAGAAAACUAGUCCAAUUAUGACAUAAAAACAUGUUUGCCUUGCUUGUAUUAACCAAUGAAAUAUAUAUAUUUAUAUAUAUAUUAUAUAUAGAAUAUCUGUCCCACAUUCAA
rnacentral:misc_RNA from 1 species